rnacentral:lncRNA from 1 species
AUUUGGGCCAUUUGGAAUAACUGUAUCUCACAUCACUAUUUGCCAGAAAACGACCUCCAUGUGGAGAAGUGCUACACCGACCACUGGCAACUGCUUGUGUUUGCUCAGUGCAAGGGGUAGAAAGACUUGAUUCAAAUCAUCAUCCCCGUCUAACAGAAAUGCCUACUACUGAGCCUGGACAAAUCAGCUGGACUCGCACUAGCUGUUGCACUUGCUUUCUAGUAAUAUGAACUGGAAUCAGUUAAG